UACGGAGGGUGCAAGCAUUGAUCGGAAUUACUGGGCGUAAAGGGCGCGUAGGCGGCAAGAUAAGUCAGGUGUGAAAUUCCGGGGCUCAACCCCGGAGCUGCAUUUGAAACUAUCUAGCUAGAGUACAGUUAGGGAAAACAGAAUUCCACGUGUAGCGGUGAAAUGCGUAGAUAUGUGGAAGAAUACCGGUGGUGAAGACGGUUUUCUGGGCUGUUACUGACGCUGAGGCGCGAAAGCAUGGGGAGCAAACAGG
rnacentral:rRNA from 1 species